AGGCCUAGCACGAUGGAUCGAAAAUGAAGAUUCUAAUUUUAUGUACUGUGACAAUCCUGGUUAUUUGCAGCAAUGAAGCCUUUAAUAAUCGUGAAAACGAGAAGGAGGUAUUAAUACCCUUCAAGCAUUUAAAAAAAGUCUUAUUAUGCCUAGAGCCAGACGAUCAACUGACCAAACUGACUAAGAGUUCUGUAAAAGAUAUCGAUUUACGUUGGCAACUAAUCAAUGAGCAUCCUAAACUCAACAUUGAGUACAACACGGUUCCCAGCUGUAAAGUCAAGAUAGAUGCCGAAAUAGAGCCUAAAAUAAUUCUUGCUGUAGUCGCUCCAAGACCACUAAAAACGUCCUCCCAGAUACCUAUGUAUUUUUUGACACUCCUUUUCUGAAUGAGAAUGAUGUGGAUGAAUUUCCCAACGGACUCUUUCCACUUCGUAGACAUUGGCAAUCUUUGAAACAUGCAUUUAGCCAUUAUUUGACGACUCAUGGAUACCAAAGGAUGGUGGUUGUCUCUGAUGACUCGUAUUAUAGUGCAGCGUUUGAAGCAGAGCUUAUCGAGCAUUUUAAAGAGAAGGAGUUCGUGUUUGAUGUACAGAGAAAACCUAAUAAAGGAAGCUUCGAUCGGGCAAUGAGAUACAUAAUAGACAACAAAGCGUUCAUAAUAAUCGUGAACAUUGACAAGGAGAACGCGCAGAAGCUGACAGAUGCUGCAAAGGAGCACGGCUUGUUGUCGAACCGAUUCUUGUGGCUCGUUAGGGAUUGGCCAUUUGAAAACGUCAAAC